rnacentral:rRNA from 1 species
AACGAACGCUGGCGGCGUGGAUAAGACAUGCAAGUCGAACGGGACUAAAUCUGUAGCAAUACAGGUUUAGUUUAGUGGCGAACGGGUGCGUAACACGUGGGCAAUCUGCCGAGAAGUGGGGGAUAGCUCGCCGAAAGGCGAAUUAAUACCGCAUAUGAUCAGUGAAGACAUCUUCACGACAUCAAAGCCGGGGCAACCUGGCGCUUCUUGAUGAG